CAUGCAAGUCGAGCGAGAAGGUCCCCGCAAGGGGAUCCGAAAGCGGCAAACGGGUGCGUAACACGUGGGUAAUCUGCCCUGCGACGGGGGAUAAGCCUUCGAAAGGAGGUCUAAUACCGCGUACGUUCCUCGGGUCGCCUGGCCCGGGGAAGAAAGGUCCCGCAGCAAUGCGGGGUCGCCGCAGGAGGAGCCCGCGGCCGAUUAGGUAGUUGGCGGGAUAACAGCCCACCAAGCCUGCGAUCGGUAGCCGACCUGAGAGGGUGUCCGGCCACACUGGGACUGAGAUACGGCCCAGACUCCUACGGGAGGCAGCGGUAGGGAAUAUUGCGCAAUGGGGGAAACCCUGACGCAGCAACGCCGCGUGGAGGAUGAAGUCCUUCGGGAUGUAAACUCCUGUCAGGAGGGACGAACCUCCUCGAGCAAUCGAGGACUGACGGUACCUCCAGAGGAAGUUCCGGCCAACUCCGUGCCAGCAGCCGCGGUAAUACGGGGGGAACGAGCGUUGUUUGGAAUCACUGGGCGUAAAGGGUCGGUAGGCGGGACGGCAGGUCGGCGGUGAAAGCUCUCCGCUUAACGGAGAAUCCGCCGCCGAAACCGCUGUUCUUGAGGACGGAAGAGGGAAGUGGAAUUCCUGGUGUAGCGGUGAAAUGCGUAGAUAUCAGGAGGAACACCGGUGGCGAAGGCGGCUUCCUGGUCCGUACCUGACGCUGAGCGACGAAGGCUGGGGGAGCAAACAGGAUUAGAUACCCUGGUAGUCCCAGCGGUAAACGAUGAGCACUUGGUGUUGGACCCGUCGACCGGGUUCAGUGCCGCAGCUAACGCAGUAAGUGCUCCGCCUGGGGAGUACGGCCGCAAGGUUGAAACUCAAAGGAAUUGACGGGGGCCCGCACAAGCGGUGGAGUAUGUGGUUUAAUUCGACGCAACGCGAAGAACCUUACCUGGGCUUGACAUGCUGGUGGUAGGGAGUCGAAAGACGAACGACCCCGUAAGGGGAGCCAGCACAGGUGCUGCAUGGCUGUCGUCAGCUCGUGCCGUGAGGUGUUGGGUUAAGUCCCGCAACGAGCGCAACCCCUGUCUGCAGUUGCCAGCCCCGCGCAAGCGGGGGGAACUCUGCGGAGACUGCCCGGGAUGACCGGGAGGAAGGUGGGGAUGACGUCAAGUCCUCAUGGCCCUUACGUCCAGGGCUACACACGUACUACAAUGGCCGUUCACAGCGGGAUGCAAGACCGCAAGGUGGAGCAGAUCCCCAAAAGCGGCCUCAGUUCAGAUUGUCGUCUGCAACUCGACGGCAUGAAGUUGGAAUCGCUAGUAAUCGCGUAUCAGCAGGUCGCGGUGAAUACGUUCCCGGGCCUUGUACACACCGCCCGUCAC
rnacentral:rRNA from 1 species